GAGGGACAGGCGCUCUAAACUGACAGUCCCUGGAGCCAUCCAUGGAGGGAUUGGUGCCGGUCCACGUGGCAGAGGGAGGUCUACCCAGGUUUCAUGGCCCUGUUCCUUCUGGGUCAACAGCAUCCAGAGCCAACACAGCCAGAUCAUGCUGAGUCUCAGCACAUAUGACAAGAAUCGUGACACGACCUCAUGGUCACAAACGGGGACUUAAUGUGAGUGGAGGUAGGA